UUAUUACAUAUAUGUCAAUAAUUAUAGAUUAAUUAGUAUAGUUUUAUUAUUAAGAAAAUAAAAUAGUAAAUAUAAGUGCUUUGUUUAUAGCAGUUUUUUCAAGGUAUUGAACUUCUCAACUGUAUUUAUCCUUUUAAUCAAUCUAUCACAUGUAAGCUGAAUGCCUACUAUGUAGAAGGUACAUUAACUUUCAAGACCCUUUCACCCUUAAAAGUUUCACAUUUACCUACUCAGCCUGAGCAAAGUGAGAGAUUUAAAGUUGGGUUACUAGGACUGAAUCUCAGUUGAAGCUUUUCCUCUCAUCUUUCAAACAAAAACACUUCUGAAGUGAGAAACUAGUAAAAGAUAACUAUCAACCACUAUUUUUGAAAUUUAUAACAGCUUUAAAUAGUAAUAUUAAUCAUUGAAAAUACCUAAUUUACAUGCAUUCUAUAAAUCUAAAUAUGAAUUUACAUACAUUCUGUAAAUCUAAAUACGGAAUAAAAUGAGCCAUACCUUCUUGAAUCCCGUUUUCUUUGGCUUGAAGUUUUAAAAAUAUUAAAGAAGUACUUUGUUUUACCAGUUUGUUGUUUUUAUUUCAACUCUCCUUUUGUGUAUACUCUUAAAAGCUAAAAUUUCUUUAAGUGUUAAUCCUGUGACUAGGACUGCCAUCAUCCUGUUGUGUAUAUCAUAUUCCACUUCAUGGAAGGCACCAUGAAUUGUGUGAUGCCUCCUUAUUUAUGUACCAAUGAAAGAUUGUUAAAUUUCUGCAAAAUAUACUUGUAAUAAAUAAUGAAUUAUAAGUGGCAUUCCAAUGUCAGAGAUGUUAAAAUAUGAGACAUAGAGUAUCUUAGAAUCAUUAAAAUAUAGUGUUAUCUCUAACCUUUAAAGCAUACCACAAAGUAGGCAUAAUUGUACCAUUUUACUUAAAAUGUUGUCCUUGUUAAGUAGUAGAAAUGAUUACAAUAUCUAACAAUUACUGAGCUGUUACAUGUGCUAGGAAUUCUUCAAAAUACUUUGCAUAGAUUCUCAUGAGGCAUCACAGUGAUGUCCUGCGAGAUAACCGCUGUAUUCAUCUUCACUUUGACAAGAAAAUUGAGGCACUGAAAGGAUAAGCAAUAGCUAGAAGGUGAAAGACUUUAAAGUAAUAUUCAAGCCUGAGUUGAACUGAAUCCAAAGGCCAAGCUUUUUCUAUUCAAAUAGGCCACUCUUUCAUUAAUGUAGUGAGUAAUAAGAGCGAAUGAGUGUUGUACUUUCUUCAGGAGAAUAUUAAAUAUUUGUUUUGAAGGCAGAGAAAGAGCAUGGUAUUUAAUGUUGACAAUUACAUAAAUCAUUAUAUGUUUUGAGACAGUGGACUAAACUUUCCUAAAAAGUCCUCUCACUCUCAUAGGACUGCUCUACACUGGGCCUGUGCCAAUGGCCAUGCGGAAGUAGUAACACUUCUGGUAGAUAGAAAGUGCCAGCUUGAUGUCCUUGAUGGCGAAAACAGGACACCUCUGAUGAAGGUAAAUAGUAGCCAGUUCUUUUAGCAGGAGAUCGAUUUGAUUUAAAUACAUAGAAUAAAAAUGAAUUUAUCUCAUUGAAAUAUAACUAGUUUGUGAAAACUGUGGAAUAUUUAUUUAUAUUUCUUAUAAUUUAUAAUUUACUUCUUGCUUUAAUACUAACAGGCUCUGCAAUGCCAGAGGGAGGCUUGUGCAAAUAUUCUCAUAGAUUCUGGUGCUGAUCCAAAUAUUGUAGAUGUGUAUGGCAACACGGCUGUCCAUUAUGCUGUUUACAGUGAGAAUUUGUCAGUGGUGGUAAAAUUGCUGUCCUGUGGUGCAGACAUCGAAGUGAAGAACAAGGCUGGUCACACACCACUUUUACUGGCCAUAAAGAAAAGAAGUGAGCAAAUUGUGGAAUUUUUACUGACAAAAAAUGCAAAUGCAAAUGCAGUUGAUAAGUUUAAAUGCACAGCCCUAAUGCUUGCCGUAUGUCAUGGAUCAUCAGAGAUAGUUGGCAUGGUUCUUCAGCAAAAUGUUGACAUCUGUGCUGAAGAUACGUGUGGAAUGACUGCAGAACGUUAUGCUGUUGCUUGUGGAUUUAAUCUGUAAGUGUUUACAUUUAAGGGCUAGGUGAGAUUUUAUAGUUUGUUUCAGGUAGUUUUUGAAUGACAGUGAGUUAGUUCACUUCAUCAGCCAGAAACUAGGCAAAACAAGCUAGACUAAUUAGAAGGAGUAAUGACUCCAGGAUUCUUUAUUUUAGGGCUUUAGGGAUGCUGAUGUUGGCUACUUGAUUUGAAGUAUAAUCCCUAUGCAUGGGAUAAACAUAAUGUCACAAUUUUGAUUUUUCUAAUUAGUUAUUUGGGUCUUGAAAUAUUCACUUUAAGCAGACAACCUGAAAGUGUCCCCUGGGGCUGUCUUUAAUUCUUGAAUUUUUUAAAAGAAUCUGAACCUAAGUCCAAGGAAGACAUUCGUUUUGUACAAGUCAGAAGGAUGUGGAGGGAAAUGGCCAUUCUCUUCAUUUUGUUGUUUCCAUUGAUUCUAUUGCUGCAUCGGUGCCAUUGAAACUGCUCCUGCAAUCUGGUAAUGACUGACCUUUGUGACCAGGAUGCCCUUAGUAAUACAGAUCCCUCAGUCUUCAUGGUGUAGACUUCAAAGUUAUUACACUUUUGUAAAAAUUCACAUACAUAUUCUCAGCCAUUGUUUCCAAAGUACCAGCACCCUGCUCUGGAACUUUUCUGGAACUUUUCUGGAACUUUUAGCUUUAGCAACACACAUAGUGAGCAAAUUGACCCUUCCCCUCACGCUCAAAACCUGAUGUGACACCCACAUCUUAGCCUGGACAUGGCCUAGACCUUCAUUGUAAGUUAUCCUUUGAGUGGCUUUUUCUAUAUUCUCUAGCCAAUAUUAGUAGUAGUUUGAAACCAUAAGUCUGGUUGAAAUAAUGUUACAGGAAGAAAUUGGAGAUCCAUUUUGUCUUUGUUACCAGAUCUAUGUCCCUGGCCCUUUAUAUGCUGUGUAGCACCAUUUUGUAGGUAGUGGAAGGUCUCAUCUUAUUCUGUAAGAUCCCAUGUCAUCUUUCCCAUGUUGUAGUGUGUUCCAACUUGUGGUUGUCCCCUCGAGUUAUUCUUUUUUCCUAAAAGUAAAAAUCUUCCAUGCUACUUGCAUCUGUACCUCAAGUUUUUAAAAUAUUUUCAAAUUCUGCAUCACCAUGAAGCCAUUCAAUAGACUUCACUAAAUCUCAAGUAAGUUGGUUAGAUUUAACAGAGCUAAGCCUCAUCUGUGACUGAUCAGUCUUCACAUACAAAAGUAAGGAUUUGUGCUGGCUUCAGUGGUACAAAUGGUAAAAUUGAAACAACGUUGAGAAGGUCAGCAUGGUCCCUGCACAAGGAUGACAUACAAAUCUGUGAAGUGUUGUGUAUUUCUUGCAGUCCCCAAAAAGACAUUUUACUACUUUUUAACUAGCUCCAAGGAAAUGGUGUGAGUCAAAGCAAAAUGGGUGACACCAAUAUUGCAAUUGUGAUUUUCAUACAAAAAAUUAUUUAUGUAAGGUGAUCUAUGAAAUGAGAUGGUGGUAACACAUAGGGUCUUAUGUGCAAUAUUUUGUUAGUAGGGAUCUCAGAAAUGAGAAAAUACCAACUUGCAUCUUCUUUGUGGAACUUACAAAAAAUAAAGGUGGGAUUUUUUUCUUCCACAGCAGCUGGAAAUGAACAUAGUGACUAAGCAUCAUUCUAAUAAAGAUUUGUUGAUUCAGAGUUUAAGGAGGUGGAUAAAGAGCAGUCGUAGUCCAAGCCAGAUGCUGACAUCUAUUAGUUUUCUGCCCUUGGUGUGACUAAUGAGCUCAGUAAUAGAGGAUGAUUAGGUUAUCUGAUUUAAUGAUUUAACAUAUUUAUAAAUAAGUUUCAUUACAGAAUAUAAAAUAGCUUAGAUGCUCUGAAUUACAAGCCACAAAUAAUAGAACAUCUAAUAUCCAAAAGUAGGAAUUAAUAACAGAAAACUGCAACAUUUGAAUAUUAUAAUCUAUGAAAAAACACGUUUGUGUUUUCUUUUUUUUUUGUAAUUUAUUUAUGUUUUGUAGAGACAGGGUCUCCCUAUGUUGCCCAGCUGUUCUUGAACUUCUGGACUCAAGCAAUCCUCCUGUCUCAACAUCCCAAAGUGUUUGCAUCACAAGCAUGAGCCACUGCAGCAGGCCAAUAUAUUGGGUUUUAUUGGGAUUUUUAAAAUAGUUUCAGCAAUAAGGUUCAAGAACAAAUUAUUUUUUUGCUCUACUAUUUCUUUGAGCAUUUAAAAAAUGUUAUCUUGUUAAAUCUUUAUAAUAACCUAGUGAAAUAAGGCCCUAAAAUCCUCAUUUUUAGAAGACAUUGAGUCUAAGAGAAGCAACUUGUUCAAGAAAAAAUAUCUGUUGGUAGCCAUGCUAGGACUUAUUCUGAGUUAAGGACAUUUUCCAUAUGUCAGGCUAACUCUAGUUAAUUUACUGAGUUAUACUGCCCUUAAUUCAUGAGUGUUUUAUCUUUCUUUCUUCUUUAAUUAGAAGCUUAAUAAGUUCAUAGAGCUUACAAACUUAAAGUCUAUGGAAAAAGUAAUGUUCUGAUGUUAGCUCUAAUAUUGUCUGAAAUACUCUAAGAACUUAAUGAAUUUGGUAAAUUUUUUUAUAGCAAUGUUAAAAUAGUAACUUUAUUUCAUUUUUAUACAUAGCAUUCAUCAACAACUUUUGGAAUAUAAACAAAAGAUAUCUAAAAAUUCUCAAAAUAGCAAUCCAGGUAAGACCUCUGAUAGUAAACUACUCUUGGUGGUGUUACCAUAAGAUUAUAGGGGUGUUGAUCACAAAAUAGCUAUUAAAAAAGCAAUCUGUAAAUAACAUGUGUUUACAUAUAUAUAUAUACACCUAUAUGUAAGUGUUUGCAUAUAUAGACAUAGCUUUGAUUUAAUUUUUUAGUUUAUAAUUCAGAAUUAGUUAAGAAUUUAGUUGUAGGUAGUUUAUAAUCUCAAAAAUAUUAUCUGAAAAAUAUUUAAUUGCGGUCCCUAAUAUCCUAUAUAAUACUUUUGUAUAAAUAAGUAAAACAAUUUUUAAGUUUGCAUAUUGUAUGUUUCCUCAACUGUCAUAACAACUUAGGUUUGUUAUAAAAUGUAUAAUCCAUGGUGUGAUAGAUGAGCUCAGCAACAGGGGAUUAUCAGUUUAUCCAAUUUAAUGAAUUAAUAUAUUUAUAAAUAUUGUUACAAAUUAUAAAAUAGCUUAGAUGCCUUGAAUUACAAGCCACAAAUAAUAGAACAUCUAAUAAUGAAAAGUAGGAAUUAAUAAUAGAAAACUGCAACAUCUGAAUAUUAUAACCUAUAAGGAAACACAGUUUAUUUAUUUGUUUGUUUGUUUCUUUAUUGGAGAGACAUGGUCUCCUUAUGUUGCCCAGGCUGGUCUUGAACUUCUGGGCUUUAUUUAAUUUUUACAAUAAAUGAUUUGCAUUUAGAAAAUUAGAAUUAAUUAUAGUUGAGUCUUGAGUAACAUGACAGUUAGGGUGCUGAUCCCCCCAUGCAGCUGAAAAUCU